rnacentral:rRNA from 1 species
AUUGAACGCUGGCGGCAGGCCUAACACAUGCAAGUCGAGCGCGCGGCGGACGGGUGAGAAAUGUAUGGGGAUCUGCCCGAUAGAGGGGGAUAACUACUGGAAACGGUAGCUAAUACCGCAUACUAUCGGAUGAACCCAUAUGUGAUUAUCGUGUAGGUGAGGUAAUGGCUCACCUAGGCGACGAUCCCUAGCUGGUCUGAGAGGAUGAUCAGCCACACUGGGACUGAGACACGGCCCAGACUCCUACGGGAGGCAGCAGUGGGGAAUAUUGCACAAUGGGCGCAAGCCUGAUGCAGCCAUGCCGCGUGUAUGAAGAAGGCCUUCGGGUUGUAAAGUACUUUCAGCGGGGAGGCGUUACCCGCAGAAGAAGCACCGGCUAACUCCGUGCCAGCAGCCGCGGUAAUAC